GAUGAAGAACGUAGCGAAAUGCGAUAAGUAAUGUGAAUUGCAGAAUUCAGUGAAUCAUCGAAUCUUUGAACGCACAUUGCGCCCUCUGGUAUUCCGGGGGGCAUGCCUGUUCGAGCGUCAUCAUAACCACUCAAGCUCUCGCUUGGUAUUGGGGUUCGCGGUUUCGCGGCCCCUAAAAUCAGUGGCGGUGCCUGUCGGCUCUACGCGUAGUAAUACUUCUCGCGAUUGAGUUCGAUAGGUCUACUUGCCAGUAACCCCCAAUUUUUACAGGUUGACCUCGGAUCAGGUAGGGAUACCCGCUGAACUUAAGCAUAUCAAUAAGCGGAGGA
rnacentral:misc_RNA from 1 species